rfam:Myotis brandtii contig154954, whole genome shotgun sequence.
GGCAGUUCUCGGCUGACACACCCUGGAACCCGGCUUCCUUCUCUCUGAUUCUGGGUGCGUCACCCGAGAACCGCA